rnacentral:rRNA from 1 species
ACAAGCGGUGGAGUAUGUGGUUUAAUUCGAUGCAACGCGAAGAACCUUACCUGGUCUUGACAUCCCGGAGACCCUUAGGAAACUAGGGGGUGCUUCCAUCUGGAAGAAUCUGGAGACAGGUGCUGCAUGGCUGUCGUCAGCUCGUGUCGUGAGAUGUUGGGUUAAGUCCCGCAACGAGCGCAACCCUUGCCUUUAGUUGCCAGCAGUUCGGCUGGGCACUCUAAAGGGACUGCCGGUGUUAAACCGGAGGAAGGUGGGGAUGGCGUCAAGUCCUCAUGGCCUUUAUGACCAGGGCUACACACGUACUACAAUGGCCGAUACAAAGGGCAGCGACACUGCGAGGUGAAGCCAAUCCCGUAAAAUCGGUCUCAGUCCGGAUUGGAGUCUGCAACUCGACUCCAUGAAGUUGGAAUCGCUAGUAAUCGUGGAUCAGCAUGCCACGGUGAAUACGUUCCCGGGCCUU